CUUUAAUUUUAUUUGUAUCGAGAUUUAACUGACCCAAUUAGCCUCUAAUGAAACUGAAGACGAGUGGAUGCGGGUGAAUGCGCGCGCGCAUGCUUGCAGGAUAUCCGCGGAUGCAGGAGGCAGCCGGCUGGGAGGAUGACGGCGAGCGCGCAAGAGCGAGAAGUCGGUAACUUAACUGGCCUAAAUGGGUUUAACUCGAUGUGAUUUUGCUGGCGAACCACUAAAUUGAACGAAUACGAACUAAACUGAACUCAACUAAGCUAAUCAUAUCACAUUACUAGCGUUAUUAGCCGAGAGACGAUAUAAGUGAAGGUCCGGUGGUACCAGGCUGCAGUAACGGGUCGCCUCCUGCACUGACCCUCUGUACGACUUUCUUUUCGACCUCUUUUUCUCGAUCUUCUCUCAUGAUCUUCGUGUCUUGUAUUUAUUCGAUCUUUGAAUUACGGAAAUGUGUUUACGAUCAAGUUUUAUUACAGUCGAUUCCAAAACAACUUUUAGGUUAGUUCUUAUGAAAGUUGGAUGUAAGUUGAAGUUUCUUGAAGGAAAUAGACAAUUCUUGAUGCACACGAGGUCUGGGAAACGAUGUUGGCCGAUCCUGGCCGAACAGAAACGCUAUCAUGGUCGUGAAACAGGAAACACGUGCUCUGAGUGAAAGUGACAGAUCACCGCGCGCCAAAUUCGAAAUAAAGAUCAAAGAAUCAUAUACGAUUUUCGAUUUAUAGUGUCAUUCGUGAGAGUAAAAUGUAACAUUUUAAAAAAUGUGCGAUGGAAAGAAUUUUUUCUUAUUGAGAAUUCUAUAUAGUGAAAUAUAUGGUGAAUAAGUGAUAUAGUUUAUCUUCAAAAGGAAUUUGAUUUGUUUUUCUGAUCUGGAUACAACCACGUGGGUUCAAUGUAUGCAACAGGUGUAUUUGAUCCGCGUGAGACACCUGUGGAAUAGAUAUAUAGAUUAAAAGAGAAGGUGCAAGUGAAAAAUUAAAAGAAAAGAGAAAAAUGAAAUGAUUGAAGAUUAUUCAUAUCAAUCUUUUAUAUAAUAAUAAACAAGAGAUUUAAGAUUACUUUAAACAGUUAUUAAAAAGAAUUAUAAAGUAAGAAAUUAGUCAAGAGAAUAAAAUUAAUGAUGUAAAGUGAUAUGUAAAGAAUGUAGAAUUAUAUAUAAUUAAAUUAAGUGGUUGAAGAGGGUAAGAUUUGAGAAUUGAAGGGUGAAGAACGAGCUAAAUUAGAUUAUUAAUAAAUGGGAUGAAGAUAUUAUAAAGGGUCGAAUUUGAAAGUUAAGGGGAAUGAAAUAUAUACUGUAGGAAAUUGAUUAGAUUAUUAAUUAUAAGAUUUAAAAAGAUUCGGAAAUCGUGAUUCAAAAGAGAAAAUGUAACAUCGCAGCCCGAUGACGUCGCAUCCUUAUUAACCCGACGUAGUCACAUCCGUCGUCAUCCCGUUCUGUAUUCACGUGCAGGGUGUUUCUCGUAAUGAUAUCUUCAUUUAUGUAUUGAAACUAUUCUAUAAAAUUCUAUUAAAUUAUAUAUUUCAUAUUAAAAUUUUCUAUAUAAUGAUAUAAUAUAAUA
rnacentral:lncRNA from 1 species